GAUGAACGCUGGCGGCGUGCCUAAUACAUGCAAGUCGAGCGAACAGACGAGGAGCUUGCUCCUCUGACGUUAGCGGCGGACGGGUGAGUAACACGUGGAUAACCUACCUAUAAGACUGGGAUAACUUCGGGAAACCGGAGCUAAUACCGGAUAAUAUAUUGAACCGCAUGGUUCAAUAGUGAAAGACGGUUUUGCUGUCACUUAUAGAUGGAUCCGCGCCGCAUUAGCUAGUUGGUAAGGUAACGGCUUACCAAGGCGACGAUGCGUAGCCGACCUGAGAGGGUGAUCGGCCACACUGGAACUGAGACACGGUCAAGACUCCUACGGGAGGCAGCAGUAGGGAAUCUUCCGCAAUGGGCGAAAGCCUGACGGAGCAACGCCGCGUGAGUGAUGAAGGUCUUCGGAUCGUAAAACUCUGUUAUUAGGGAAGAACAAAUGUGUAAGUAACUAUGCACGUCUUGACGGUAACUAAUCAGAAAGCCACGGCUAACUACGUG
rnacentral:rRNA from 1 species